AGAAUAAACGUUGGCGGCGUGGAUUAGGCAUGCAAGUCGCGCGAUUGUUCCUUCGGGAGCAAGAGCGGCGGAAGGGAGAGUAACGCGUAGAUACCUACCCUCGGGACCGGAAUAGCGACGGGAAACUGUCGGUAAUGCCGGAUAACGUCCCUGGACCAAAGGUGUAAAUCCGCCUGAGGAGGGGUCUGCGUCCUAUUAGCUAGUUGGCGGGGUAACGGCCCACCAAGGCUUCGAUCGGUAG
rnacentral:rRNA from 1 species